rnacentral:misc_RNA from 1 species
AACUUUCAGCAACGGAUCACUUGGUUCUGGCAUCGAUGAAGAACGCAGCGAAAUGCGAUAAGUAAUGUGAAUUGCAGAUUUCAGUGAAUCAUCGAAUUUUUGAACGCACAUUGCGCCCUCUGGUAUUCCGGGGGGCAUGCCUGUUCGAGCGUCAUUACAACCCUCAAGCUCUGCUUGGUAUUGGGCGUCGCCGGCUCCCGGCGCGCCUCAAAGUCAGUGGCGGUGCCGUCCGGCUUCAAGCGUAGUAAACUACUCUCGCUUUGGAGCUCCGGGCGUCGCCUGCCAGCAACCCCAAUUUACCACAAGGUUGACCUCGGAUCAGGUAGGGAUACCCGCUGAACUUAAGCAUAUCAAUAAGCGGAGGCU